AGCAUAAUCAUUUGCCUUUUAAUUGGAGGCUUGUAUGAACGGACACACGAAAACGCAACUUUCUUAUCGAGGAAAAUAAAAAUUAACCUUCAAGUGAAGAGACUUGAGUACCAUAAAAAGACGAAAAGACCCUAUGGAGCUUUACUUAAGUUAUUAAACCACAAAUAAAAAAAGCUUUUUUUACUAAAAAAGUUUAGUUGGGGCGACUAAGGAGCACACACCACCCUCCUACUGACAAAAGACUCUAAAUCUACAAAAGAUCCACAAACGUGAAUAAAAAUCCAGCUACCCUAGGGAUAACAGGCUAAUCCUCCUUAAGAGCUCAAAUUGACAGGAGGGCUUGGCACCUCGAUGUUGGCUUAAGAUCUCUACUAAGUGCAGCAGCUUAGGUAGUAGGUUUGUUCAACCUUUAAAA
rnacentral:rRNA from 1 species